GGGUUUGAUCAUGGCUCAGAACGAACGCUGGCGGCAGGCCUAAUACAUGCAAGUCGAGCGCGCCCUUCGGGGUGAGCGGCGGACGGGUGAGUAACGCGUGGGAAUAUGCCCUUCUCUAAGGAAUAGCCUCUGGAAACGGAGAGUAAUACCUUAUACGCCCUUUGGGGGAAAGAUUUAUCGGAGAAGGAUUAGCCCGCGUUAGAUUAGGUAGUUGGUGGGGUAAUGGCCUACCAAGCCUACGAUCUAUAGCUGGUUUGAGAGGAUGAUCAGCCACACUGGGACUGAGACACGGCCCAGACUCCUACGGGAGGCAGCAGUAGGGAAUCUUAGACAAUGGGGGCAACCCUGAUCUAGCCAUGCCGCGUGUGUGAUGAAGGCCCUAGGGUCGUAAAGCACUUUCGCCAGGGAUGAUAAUGACAGUAUCUGGUAAAGAAACCCCGGCUAACUCCGUGC
rnacentral:rRNA from 1 species